UCACCCCCUGGCACCAACUCAGGAUGGGUCUCUGAAGCGAGGACCUCAGUAGGAGAACUCAAACCCCUCGGGGAAGCCUGGGCGGUGGGACGCUCAGUGUCUGGGAGGACGUCGGUGGCUGAGGUCGCUCGGGCGGGCGCGGUCGAACUCGUCCCCUCCGCUCUGGCCCUCUUCGCCGGCCCAGAGGCCGCGACACCCUUUCUUUUCAGAGCCUUCAGACCCCUGGCAAGCAUCUGUGCUUCUUCGACGUCUAUGCCUAAAAAAAAAAAAGAAAAAGAAAAGGAAGGCAUGAAAAAGAAGAAAAGAAGAGAGGUAGGAGAAAGAGAGGAAAGGAAAAGAAAGAAAAAAAAAGGAGAGAUGAAAUACUGGCGGGAUCCAGGGGGCUCAGACCGAUGUUGAACAGAAACUACUCCUUCAGGAGGUUGG
rnacentral:lncRNA from 1 species